GACUCCGUGGAAGCGCAAUUGUGUUGCACAUGCAAGGCCCUGUGUCCAGUCCCCAGGAAGGCAAUGGGAAGGAAAACAUAUCAGAUAAGGGAGAUAAGGCUCAAAAUAUACUCAGCACAUUGGGUCAGCUUCCAGGGAAGUGAGGGGUAGGACUCACAGCCAGUGACAAUCUCAACAAAUGAACUUCUCAAAAGGCUCUGGAUUCUGAUUCUGUCAGUUAAAAAUCACUUGUGAAUGCAUUGUCAAGAUUGGAGACGAUAGCCUGCAAACUAGCCAUCCUGCAGAUGUACAGAAGCCAGAAGAGCCAGUGACUUCCACAUUGAGGAGGAGGAAUCACAGAACCCUUUUGUCGUUGCUGAGAAUCCUGAUUGGAAAAGGAAAAUGACAUCAUUAAGAAGGGAGAAUCAUAGUAAUUUGAACACCUAGCAAAGAUAUCACAUCGUUUUUCAUAUUGCAUAGAUUUCUCUGCUUGGUGUGUCACAAACAGCAGAAUAUUCAAAGGAUGGCAAGUUUAUCUUAAAAAGUUGAAAAAGGA